rnacentral:misc_RNA from 1 species
GAAAUGCGAUAAGUAAUGUGAAUUGCAGAAUUCAGUGAAUCAUCGAAUCUUUGAACGCACCUUGCACCCUUUGGUAUUCCGAAGGGUACGCCCGUUUGAGUGUCAUUGUAAUCUCACUUCUACAACUUUAUUGUUGUUUGAAUGUGGACUUGGAUGUUGCCGUUUUAUCACGGCUCAUCUUAAAUGCCUGAGUGUACCCUGUUUUGCAGCGUAUCCAGUGUAAUAAACAUUUCACUAGAGUUGGUUGAAAGACCGCGUUGACUAUAUGGGCUCUAUGCUUCAAACCGUCUGCUCUGUGGACAAUUUCUUGACAAUUUGACCUCAAAUCGGGUGGGACUACCCGCUGAACUUAA